AGAGUUUGAUCCUGGCUCAGAAUCAACGCUGGCGGCGCGCCUAACACAUGCAAGUCGCACGAGAAAGGCUCCUUCGGGGGCCGAGUACAGUGGCGCACGGGUGAGUAACACGUGGAUACCUGCCCUCAAGUGGGGAAUAACUUUGGGAAACCGGGGCUAAUACCGCAUACGUUCGAGAGAAGAAAGCAGCAAUGCGCUUGAGGAGGGGUCCGCGGCUGAUUAGCUAGUUGGUGGGGUAAAAGCCUACCAAGGCGAAGAUCAGUAGCUGGUCUGAGAGGACGAUCAGCCACACUGGAACUGAGACACGGUCCAGACUCCUACGGGAGGCAGCAGUGGGGAAUUUUCCACAAUGGGCGAAAGCCUGAUGGAGCAACGCCGCGUGUGUGAUGAAGGUUUUCGGAUCGUAAAGCAACUUUCGACCGGGGAACGGAAAAAACCUUACUGGCUAAACAUCCAGGGGCCUGACGGAACCGGAGAAG
rnacentral:rRNA from 1 species